UUCAAUUUGAAUGUCUCACUUAUCAAUGUUGUUUGGUUUCCUAAUUAGGUUGAAUUUGUGUUGGUUUCGGUGAGUUGGGUAUAUAUUCCAGUUUGAUGAAGCUUAAAUUAUCAGAAAUAGGAAAAUCUUUAUGGUUACACUUUCGAUUGUUGUUUGAUGGCUAGCUAAUUUUCUCACUAAUCAAUGUCCUGUGGAAAGUUUUAUGAAAGAAUCAGAUUAUUUUCUUUGCCGUUAAAGUCCAUGUGCUUCUCUCUAUGUAGUUAGUUCAUAUAUCAAUGGAUAAUUGGUUGUUUUUCUUGUUUCUGGAUCCAGAUAUGAGAUUACUCUUAGAGUGCUGUUCACGGCAUUGCUUAUCCUCCAGUAUGAGUGUCUCCGGUGCUGCAGUUGGUUCAGGUUAUUAGCUGCAUCUCCACAGUGUCUCUGGUGUUCUUUACUCAGGAUUCUCAUUUUUUUUUCGUGGUUUCCUUUUUCUUUGAUUGUCUUAACAGUUGUUGUAUUGUAGGAAUCAUUGAAUAGACCGCGUUGUAAAGCCAUCCACUUAACUGAGAUUGAUACAAGUGUUGACUGUGAUACAUUUAUUCCCCUUGUUGACACUUCUGCAUAUCAACCUUGGUGUCUUAAAAAACGAUAGGACAGGGACUGGCACAUUAUCUAAAUUCGGCUCUCAGGAAUUUUCCACUUCUGACGACUAAGGUGCUUCUAUAUGGAGGACAAGUGGUUUCUUGGAGAAAUUAAAGGAGAGAGCAGUUGCUUUAUAUGAGCACCAAGGCGCAACUAAAACCACCCAAGGCCAUCAGGAGAGGUUUACCUGUCUGCUUUCCACAGCUAUGUUUCAAAAGCACAAAUCUAGCUGAGAUUCAAGACUGCUGCAGGGAAGGAUAGUGUGUUCAUCUACUUUUUUUUAUUAUUAUGUUUUUUUAGGAGUAUCACUACAGUUUU